rnacentral:lncRNA from 10 species
CCCAUGGGAAGACAUGGACGGACAGACACAUUAGUAGUGCCCUUCUUGACACUUCCCUUGAAACUUUGCAAGGGGUAGCCCACCCCUGGAGUCUGGGCCUUGUUUGAAUUCUUCCUACAGGGCACAGAAAGAAGGGAAGAGCAACUCUGGUCUAGGCAAGAAGGAAAACCAAUGAGUAUAGAGGUGUGUGUGGAAGGUGCGAGGGGCUGGGGCAGGAAACCACCACCACCACCAGGGAACACCCACUGCAUUCCAGAGCAAGACAUCCACUGUCGCUGUGGAAGGAGGGGUGGGGGGUGUGACCCCAAGGCCCCUCAGCCCUCUGGCAGCCAGGCGGCCUUGCAGCCCAAGCACUGGGCCUCAUCAGCUGGCUGCCUCCUCUCUUUGAGUAUCCUGUUCGGUGUAUGCCUUGGUCUGGGAAAUAAAAUGACUGAAAGCCCAUAAUGAAUGUGGUAUUGACCAGAGAGAAUGAUUAUAAGACUAGCUACUAAUUAGAGACUUAGGCGAAGGCCUGUGGGUAGUUUACAGGGGAGGCCUUGGGAUCUCAGCGAGUGGGCAGGAGUGGGCUGCUGAUGAGGAGUUGCUCUUGACAGACUCAGCAGUGGUGCACCUGUCAGCUCCUGAUUUUUUUAGGUAGGUAAACUGAGGGCACAGACAGAAAAAGUUGCUCACCCAGAUCUCAGGGAACCUGACACCUAGGCCAAGAAUCUUUCAGCUCAGCUUCUCCCAGGGUCUCACGUGGAAAGAAUCUACCUACACUGGGAUGUUGCAUGGCUGCUGCUUAUGAUAACUUACAUUCAUCCAGUCAUUCAUUCAUUUGUUCAAAGACUUUUUAUUUUUUAGAGACAAAGUGUCACUCUGUCACCCAGGAUAGUGUGGUGGCACAAUCAUAGCUCAUUAUAGCCUUAAACUCCUGGGCUCAAGGGAUCUUCCUGCCUUUGCCCCCUAAGUAGCUGGCACCGUAGGUGCGUGCCACCACCUGAUUAAUUUUUGUAUCUUUUGUUAAGACACACUGUUGCUAUGUUCCCAGGCUGAUCUUGAACUCUUGGCGUCAAGUGAUCUGUGACCUUGCCUCCCAAAGUGCUGGUAUUAUAGGCAGGAGACACCAUGCCUGGCCCUGUUUAAAGAUAUUUAUAGAGUGCCUGCCAUGGGUCAAGUACUGGGCCAGAUAUGGGAUACAGCUGUGAACAAAAACAGACAAACAUUCUUCUCCUCAUGCAGCUAUGUUUUUGAGAAGAAGAGAGAGACAUAAAUUAAACACACAAUAAAUAAAUAAAUACUAUGUCAGAAGGCAGAAAAGACAAUGGAGAAAAACAGACUGGACUGUGUAGGGUUCCCGCUGUGGCAGGUCUCUGGUCAGAGACCAGCAGGGAUGCUCACAAGAUAGUAAGGGCAGUGGAAGAAUGAGUGAUCCCACUCUGGCAACAUGAGGGGUGCUGAACAAUCUCUCCAGCCUGGAGAAGGGGUAGGAGGUAGAGUUGGAGGACAGAGCUGGAUGCUGUAAUUCAUAAGACCAUGUAAGAGAUGGCCAAGAGGUACUGUCCCCCAGAGGCCCAGGGAGAGUCCUGGGCAGAGGAAUGAGCUGGCAAGGUCAGGGUGGGCUUCCUAGGGGGAGGCAAGGUGUGGCUGGGCAUGGAGGAAGUGGCAUCAUGGGGUAUUUAGGGAUGGCAAAAGAAGGAUACAAGUAGAACUCGUGGGCUGGCCUGGGAGCAGAAUACAGGAGGGGAGGAGUAAGGGAUGACAGUAGAAGUGCUGUGUUGGAGUGGCCAUGGGGAUGUGGAGAAGAGGCUCAUGGAUCUUAUCUCCCAGGGAAGAUGGGGAGCUCCUGUGAUUUAUAGCUAGUUGACAUUGUGAAGAGGCCACUUUUUAAAGGUCAUUCUGGCUGCUGCAGUAGGGUUGUGCUGGAGUAAGAAGGAGCCUGAAAUCCUCAUGCCUGGAGGGCUGUGACUAAGGGGUGGAGAGAGGGGAUGGAUGUCAGAGAGGGAGGAAGAAUCACAGGACUUAACAUUGAGCUUUUUUUUUUUAGUUUUAUUAUUAUUAUAGUUUUAGGGUACACUAUGCAGCCAUAUUGAGCUUUGCUCCCCAGUCUGAAGGUGUUUCUCUGGGUUUUGGCAGGGCCAUGGUCUCCUGUUUCACUCUUGCACAUAUGACAACUUUCCAGGAUGGGGACAGGAGGCCUGAUUGCUUAGGGACACUCUGCAGAUGUCAAAUCUCUUCCUACCACUGCUGGAUGCCACUCAAUCUCUCCUUCCACAAUCUUCCUUCCCUAAGUCUGGCCUGCACUUGGCCAGUCAAAAUCACACAGACUCUGGGGAACAGUUGGCAUGAGAUGUUGGGGUCAGCCUAGGGCUAAAGGAGAUGCACAUGAUCUGUUCCUGAAAGACCUAGCAGGGAAGGAGCUUUGAAGGCAUUAGGUGUCCCGAGUCCAGUUACACUGGUGAAGAAGCCCCAGGGCACGUCUGGGUGCCUGAAAUCAGCAGAGACUGUUUUGGGAGGUUGGUCACCAGGGACCUCUUUGAGGGUCUGCAAUAAGUGUUCUUCAGCUUGUUGCAGCCUGGCAGAGGCCCUUGGGUUUUCUGGGUGGACAAGACUGAAUCAAUACAGUACCUAGUGCCCCUGAUAAAAGACAUAGAUUCCAGCCUGGGCUAGGACUGGGUCUGGGAGAGGAAUCAUGCUGUGAUUCCAGGCCCUACUGAAUGCCUCUGCUGGGAUCCACAAAGCAACCUCUGGACACCUGGGUGGGGCUGUCAUGGGUCUCUGGGGACUGCUGGAGGCCUAAGGGUCCAAUCUCAGAGCCAUGCAGGGGCAGCAACCAUGAACAACCAGGGCUCAUGAGUAGGGAGAGUAGCCAGGUGGGUAGACCAGAUGAACAAAUGGAGAUUCCAAGAUGAGAAAAGGGGCCCCAUUUAGUGACAGAACAGAGGCUGGAGUCCUGGUACCACUCCUCCUAGCCCAGUGCCCCUCCCCAACUCCCUGGGGUCUUGAAUGGAGCUUAACUGAGAGUUCUCAGAGGCCAUCGUGGGACAGAUGAGUUUGACAGCCAGCAGUCUAAUGUAGAAACUUCGCAUUGAUUCAGUGAGGCAGUUUUGCUGUGCCAGGGUUGGCUUUCCCACCCUCUCUGUGCAGACUUAGGUGGGUGUGUACUAUGUGCUUAAUUAUAGUGCACAUAACCAGAGAGGAGCUACUCAGAAGCACAUGUCAUUUUGUUUGGGGAUAAUAGACAUGAAGGCUGGAAAAUAUCUAUUAGAUCAUCCCGUCCUGCCUCUGCCAGAGCUGGUAUGACGGGUGUCAAAUCACCUGGGCUUUCUUCAGCCUGUGACUCAAACAGGGGGAGCUGGGAUAGGCCUCCAGGGAGAUGGCAACCCCAUGUUUUUCUCAAACUCUGCUCUGGUUUUCCUUGUCUGUCUACUCACAUUUUUCAUCCGUGGAUCUGGUUCUGCCGGCCUUGCCCUCUCGUGUCUUCCCAGUGAGCCUCGACUCCUCCAGCUUCAUCUACUGAGCCCCCGCUCUGUAGCAGGGCUGCCCACGCUCAGUUCUAGGGGCUCAGACAAUGAUAUCCAUCAAUCCACAGUCAAGAGCAACGUGAGACGUGCUCAUGAAUAAUUUCAAUUCAUGACCAAAUAUGGAAACCGCCAUGCAAGAAAUACCAAUGCAGGUUAGGGAAGGGAAAGGUGGCUCUGUCUCUGCUUGUUGGAAAGGCUUCUUGGAAGAGAUGGCAGCUCCCUUAUCAGAGCUGAGUGAGAUUUCUUAAGUGCAGGAAAGGGGUUGAGGCUUUCCUCCAUUUAGUGGGGGACUACAGCUUCCUUCUCUUCCUCCUACUGCCUGAACUGGGCCUGGUUAAUAUCCUUUGUCUUCACCUCAUCUUUUUGGCUGUGACUGACUCCCUCUAAAUCAAACCUUUGCCACCUCGUCCUUCUUAUCUCCCCUUUCUCUUCCUUCCCUUGUCCUAUUUUAGAUAGAGUGGGGCAGCAGGUCAGGUCUCAGACCAGGGUGGGAGUCAGGGACCAGAAAGCUAGGGCCAGAGCUGCCCCUAGUCUUCAGCUCCUGCAUCUGCAAAAUGAGGGUUAAGGGCUAAUCUCUACGGACUCUUUAAAGCCCGAUGUUCUAGGAAUUUCCAGAGCAGUGAGCUACCCAGCUGAGUCAGAGUCCAGAGGUGCGGUUUCAUGGCUGUUUCUUCCUUGUUGUGACUUCCACCACCACCAUCAGUCCGGCAGCUCCCAAAUCUGCAUCCCUAGCACAGAUUCCCUUCCUGAGCCGUGGGACCAUAUAUCCCACUGCUCCCUCCAUGUCCCUAGGAGGUGCUUUAAAAUCAGCAUGUCCAAAAAGAAAAUCAUUAUAUUGCAUACCAUUCUGAUUCUGUUGCCAGCAUGCGUGUGCAUAGCACACUCACAUUCAUACACUUCUGAUCAUGUGACUUUCUGUUUAAAACCACUCCACCAGGAUAAAAUCCCCAGAAAACAAGGCUUGGUGUGGCACAGGCCUUUAUUGACCUGACCCCAGACUCAUCUCUCAUCUUCCCACCUCCCCAGACAUCAUACUUGAGUCAACCCUAACUACUGAACACACCAAGAUGUUUCACACCUCCGUGUGUUAGCAUUGGUUCUUUCUCCUGUAUAGAGGAUCAUUUCCCCCUGUGUUUUACCAAGGAACUCCUUUUCAUACAUCAAAACUGAGCUUAUCACCUCUACCCUGAAGUCAUCCUGGACAUCACUGGUCCCAGUUAAUCACUCACUUAUCUUUGCCAUCCUUGACCUGGGAAGAGAACGUUGCCCUCAUUGGUCUGGAAUCAGCAGGUACCUCAUGGCUGGAGGUGUAUUUUCAGGUGGGUUGGGACUUUGAAGAGGUGGCUUUUCCUAUGGACCCCUCUGACUCCCCACCUGUGGGCAUGACACAGGUGACCUGGCUUUUUGAGUUUCCUGCUUUUGACAUGAGCAUGGAUAUUUAUCACUUCUAGAGGCAUUAGGAGAACUCAAGUCCAAGUGCUCAGAGACCUACAGUGCAGCUUAAGACCCUGUCACAGGAAUCUUCGGGGUGGGGGCAUGCACGGGAGUUAUAGAGAGUUGGGGAAGGAUGAGUUCUCAACCAAUGCUUUCCUUUUUUCCACAGACUCCUUUGGCAUCUGGUGAGGCCUGUGGAUUCAUUCUCAGAAUCACAUUUUUAAAUGCACAUAAUAAAAUACAUAGAAUUGCAAAGGAAGUUAAUUAUAUUGAAAUACAGUUAUCAAAAAUAUAAAUAAAACAAGUAUGUGGUACAGUCAUAUGUGUGCUUCUUUAUUAAGUCAUUACAAAGCAAGAUCUAUUUGGAGGUCUAAUAACUGUCAUAUGCUUGAAAAAAUCCUUAACAAUCAUAAUAUAUUAAAAAAUCUGAUUUCUACUUUGGCAAAUCAUAGAUAUUGCUGAAACUGUGGUUUAUUGCCUGCAUUCAUAAUUGAAGGAAAUGCUAGAGUUCAGUGAGAAGGUUGUGAAAAUAAAGAGAGCCUUUUUUUCUCAUCAAGGUUCCUUGGACCUCUGAAUUCUUUUCAUGGAUCUUUUGGUGUUAGGUGAUCAUGUCUGAAGCAGUGACUCCUGGUGAUUAUUUAUCUUUCACUUUGGAUGUCUGAUCAGAAUAAAGCACCCAUCUUAAAGCCAAAAAGUGAUAAUGAUGGAAAAUGGGCCAUGGCAUGAUGGGGCAGCAACAUUUUCACCUGUUUGUAAAACACUGAAAAAAAUGUGACCUCAGAUAAGUAAGUGUCCUCCAGUGAGAAAGUAAUUAUUUCCCACCGACCACAUGAUAAGUGUACAGGUGAGUAAAACUUGGGCAGUUGAGGGAAAGUUUAUCUAGACGAAUGGCUGGUAAUUCAGGCCCUAGAGACAGAACUAGAAGGAACUCAGAUGAGGCCCAUGGUCAGCUCAGCCAAGGGCAGGGUGAGGGGUGUGGGGCCAUAGCAUUCAGGGGCAAGUUUCCACAGGUGACUUCUUCCUUGGUCAACUCUGGUAACUUUCCACACUCACAAUUUCCACCGUAUUGGCACUUGGUUAUCCAUUCCUGACCUGCCUCUUCUCCUUGUUAAUUAAUUUCCUGCUUCUGAUUGGAAUUGCCGUGGGUGAUCACUUCUGCAUCUACAGGUAAUCAAUCCAGGGAUGGGUGUACUCUUAUUUUCACAGUUCUGUUUCCUGUCUUCUCAGCCCACAGAGGCACUUUCUCCUGGAUGCACUCAGCACUCACACAGGGAGGAGAGAGCAUCUCAGGCCCUGGAAUGCCCCAGGGAAGGGGGACUGAAAGAAGGACACUUCCUAAUUUGUAUUUUAUUUGACACUUAUCUAGCAUUUAAUGUGCACUAGUCAUUGUUGCAAUUGUUUUACAAAUUUAAUUAUUUAAUCCUUACAACCACUAUACUCCCCAUUUUUAAAAAAACAGAAAUGAAGAAACUAAGACCCAGAGAGAUUGCAUAACAUGGCCAAAGUCACACAGCUAUCAAAUAGCUGAGGUAAGAUUCAGAUCCAGUUAGUCUGACUCUAGAACAACACUGCACAAUACAAAUAAGAUGUAAGGCACCGAUGACAAGCCCAGUACAUAAUUUACAAUUUUGUAGUAGUCACAUUAAAAACAUUUUAAAAAUAAACAGGGAAAUUAACUGUAAUAACUUAUUUUCCUUAACCAAUCUAAAAUGUUACCAUUUUGACAUGUAAUCAAUAUUGAAAAGUAUUAAUGUGAUAUAUUCGUUCCUAUUAACUCUUCAAAAUUGUGUGUAUUUCAUACUUACAGCACAUGUCAGUUCAGACUAGUGUCAUUUCAAGUGCUUAGUAGCCACCAUGCUGAGCAACGCUUCUUUAAGUCUUGCUCUUCACCAGUGGGCUAUGCUGCCCCUUGGCUAAACUGCCCAUGGAGCUCAGAAGGACCUCGAAGGUAGGGCUUUUAAAAGAGCUGCUGGGUAGCAGAGGUGUGGCCAUGAUGCACAGACACAGGGAGAAACACAGUGGGAAACAUACCAGUGACACUACCACCCCCGUACAUCAGGGAGCAACCCAAAGAUUCCCAUCCCCUUGAGAAAUUGGAGAAGGCUUCUCCUACAGUUUGUGGGUAUUCUGCGAGCUGGGAAAGUGUCUUCUUGAAGACUGCCCCAACCCUGUGUGUGCAGCAGAUGCCUGGAGCCCAAGGAAGAGCCUUGCUCACUAAGAGUCACCACAAUGAAGAAGCCACACCCAUAAGGCCAACACUGUGGCAAGAAGAGAAGGAAAAUGGAAAGUGUCUCCAAUUUUCUCUAGUGGCUCCUGCAUCUUAACUGUCCCAUAUUCUGUGUAUCAGUCUUUUGUUAUUUAUUUAUUUAUUUUGUUGUUUUCCAUUUUAUUCCUUGAAUGGAUGAGAUGUAGUUUACAAAGAUAGUUGGAUGAUGGCAAGAUGACAUAAAAGACUCCAAAACAUGAGGCAGAGGGGAAGUAAGAAUAGGAAAGAUGAAUGGAAUCAGGUAUGAAGUGGGUUCAAAAAGUGCAUCCCUUAGGGUCUUGCUUAAUUGCUAGAGAUGGGCUGUAUUGAUUGCAGUCUAAGCUUCCCAACAGCCUAGGCCAAGAGGGAAGCACAGUGGUUACAGGAAUCACAGUGUAAUUAAACAAAAACAAGCAGGAGCUAGAAGCGGGGUGGGGGACACUACUGUUUUAGAUUCAGAGGCCUGAGAGAAGGCUAUCUGAACUUCUUGAAAAGAGACAUCAUCCAGUCUCGAUGCUAUCCUCAGCAGGACACUGAUGUAAAAUCCUCCCUACCCUUCCAUGCACCCAGAGUUUCCUUUCCUGCCCCUGUUUAGACUGAGGGCUUAUCUCUAGCUAUUCUAUAGCUAUUGUGAAGCAUGCAAUGCUUCCCAGAUACUCAGCACUCAGAUAAACUGGCUUAGUCUGGGGUCAGUUUAAAUGAUUUAGAUCAAUGCAUUUUUGUGCAGAACUACUGUGAGUUCACCAAAGCCUGUCUCCUUUCCCUCCUCAACACUUACCAUGAGUGCUUUUCCCAGCCUUCAUUGCAACUGGGUGUGGCCUCGAGACUGAAUGUGGGCAGAAGUGUUUGGAAAGUAAAUGUGUUCCCUCUAAAACCCCUUUUUCCCUAUCUGCUGUCUGGAAGGAAAAGGAUAUCAGGACCCACAGGAGGGUGGAGUCGCAGGAAAGAAGAAGCCUGGGCUCCUGGAGGCCUGGGGGAAGGAUACGGAGCCGGAAAACCUUAAUUGGACUGUGAUGUACAUGAGAAACUAACUUCCAUUAUGUUAAGCAACUGGGAAUUCAGUAUUUAUCUGUUAGAACAGCUAGCAUUACCUUAACGAAUACAAUUCCCUGUUGGGAAAUACUCCCUAAACACAAUUCCUCUCAAUCAAGGGGAAUUGAACGGUUUGAGUGGCACCAAGUUCAAGGUUAUGUUCCCUGACAGCUAGCAGGAGUGCAAAUAUUCUCUGUUGCAGGGAAGUGGGGAGGUGUAGAACCUCAUGUUUUAACAGUCACCCAAGGUGGGAGUAAGAUUAACAUACUCUUGUCAAAAUUGUGUCACCUUACAAGAACUCCUGCCUGAAUAGAAAGCUCUUUUAUCUCCUUUUGGAGAUAAGCCAGGAUGUACCUGUGGGUAAGGCCAAGAUUCUCUUCAGAAAGUCAUUUUGGAUCUACCUGAACACAUGGGACAAUGAUAACCAAGGCCACACAGCUUUAUACGGUGAAAUCUGCUCUAAUAAUUUUUGCCUGAAAGAAAAUGUAAAACAGCUGUAACCUUAUGACUGUUGUGCCCUUAAGAACAAAACAAAACUUGCACAGUUUACCUGUCCAAGUCCCCUUCUUUUUUAUUUUAAAACUACUUUAUUGGCCAGGUGUGGUGGCUCAUAUCUGUAAUCCCAGCACUUUGGGAGGCUGAGGCGGGCAGAUCACGAGGUCAGGAGAUCGAGACCAUCCUGGCUAACACAGUGAAACCCCGUUUCCACUAAAAAUACCUAGCCGGGCGUGGUGGCGGGUGCCUGUAGUCCCAGCUACUUGGGAGGCUGAGGCAGGAGAAUGACAUGAACCUGGGAGAUGGAGCUUGCAGUGAGCCGAGAUUGUGCCACUGCACUCCAACCUGGGCAACAGAGCAAGACUCCAUCUCAAAAAACAACAACAACAACAACAACAACAACAGCAAAACUACUUUAUUGAGGCAUGGUUGACAUGUAAGGAACUAUAUGUAUAUUUAAUGUAUACAACUUGAUGAGUUUGGGAAUAAGUGUCCAUCCAUAAAACCAUCUCCCUCCUCAAGGCCACAGACAUACCCAUCACCUCCCAAGGCUUCCAUGCCCCCUUUGCUAUUAUUAUUAUUAUUUGUGGUAAGAACACUUAACAUAAGAUCUACCCUCUUAGCAAGUUUUAAGAAUACAAUACAGUGUCGUGAGCUAUAAGCUGUAUAUGGUAUAGUAGAUCUCCAGAAACUGUACCCUUUGACCAUCCUAUCCCCAUUUCCCAUUUCCUCUCCCCUGACCUCCUGGCAACCACCCUUCUACUACUGCUAUAUGUUUGACUAAUUUAGAUUCCAUAUAUAAGUGAGAUCAUGCACUAUUUGUCUUUCUGUGCCUGGCUUAUUUCACUUCACACAAUGUACUACAGGUCCCUCCAUGUUAUUACACAUGGCAGGAUUUUCUUCUUUUUUAAGGCUGAAUAAUAUUUUAUUGUAUACAUAUACUGCAUUUUAUGUAUUCAUUUAUCCGUCAAUGGACACUCAGAUGGUGUCCCUUUCUUGACUAUUGUGAAUAAUGCUGCAAUGAACAUGGGAGCGUGGUUAUGUCUUUGAGAUUCUAAUGCUGAUUUAAAUUCCUCUGAAUAAAUACCAAGAACAAAGCUGAGGCCUCAUAUUUCCAGAUUUCAAAUUACAUUACAAAGCUAAAGUAAUCAAAACUGUAUAGUGCUGGUAUAAAUAUAGACACACAGACCAAUGGGACAAAAUAAAGAGCCAAGAAAUAAAUCUAUGCAUGUAAGGUUAACUGAUUUUCAACAAGAGCACCAAGAGUACAAACUGGUGAAAGAAUAGUUUCUUCAAUAAAUGGUGUUGGGAAAACUGGAUCUCCACAUGCAAAAGAGUGAAAUUGGAUCCUUAUAACAUACACAAAAAUGAACUCAAAAUGGACUCAAGACUUAAAUGUAACACCUGAAAACAUAAAACCUCUAGAAGAAAACACAGGAGAAAAGCUCUGUGACAGUGGUCUUGGAAAUACAUUUUUGGAUAUAACAGCAUGAACACAGG